rnacentral:lncRNA from 12 species
UAAAGAUACUACAUAAGUACAGUGACCCAAAGACCCAAUGUCUAUUUACCUUCUGUAUCUCUUAAGGUCCUGCUGAAGAAGCAAAAAGCAAAUAUAAAGGGAAGCAGAAAAUCAUAAGGCUGGAAACAUGAAACAGAAUUAACGGUCCAGGAAAACAGAAAACCAACCAAUAGAAAAAUAGAAAACCUAGUGAAACACUCACCCAAGACAGCAGAGGAAAGAGCACUCAACAAAGUUUAUAACAGGUCUGGUAUCAGGAGGAGGCCCCCGGUGGCCCCCAGGAGAAAGGAGCAAGCUCCACCCCAACCCCAGGUACCUGCCGAGCACCUGGAGCUCGCUGCUCUUCCUGCUGCUGCUGGGCCUGGACAGGGUGGACAGCCCCUCUGGACCCCGACUAUUCACCAGGAGCCACCACACAUUCCACCUUUCCUGCCCCCCAUGGGCUCCCAAACUGGUCAGAGGCCACCAGCUUAGCCUGACAAACACCAGACUGGUCUGACCUGAAAACUGGACCCAGUGCCACUUAAAAACCAGGCCUCCUGAGGUUGGAUUGGUUCCAACUUAGAAACUGGGCUGGGUGCGGGGGGAGAGAGGGUGGCCACUGCAGGACCUCAGAUGAGUAGAAUUUUGUGAUGAGGCUCAACAAACAGGUUUAUUUACCAAAGAUAAUCCUGAAUUACAGUGACCACAGCAGACAGCUUCUAACCACCUUAGAUAAGUAAAUCCACUCAGAAGACGCCCUAGAGAAAACAGGGCCCCAACGAAGCCCUCACUCACCACAGAGGAUGGAGGGCAAGUUAGCUGUCCUCCUCUCCAGUGUCUGGUGACCAGGACAGGACCUCCUGGGACUGCGGACUGGCCCCAGAGCCUGCAGGCGGGGUGGAGAAAAGGGGCAGAAGCCUGAGAAGGGUAAGAACUUUUGUCAAAGUCAGCUCUCCUGGAUCUCCAUCCGUGGCACCUGGGGGGGAGAGGAAGGUAAUAUUUCACACGUCCCUUCCUUUCCACAUUGGCAGGAAAAAAAACAUUGUAAGAAUUAAAUCUUUGGAUUGUGACUUGUGAAUUUGCUUUCAGGUACCCAUUGAUGGUCUAUCCUUUCUUUUCCAGGGAUAGCUAUCCUUGUUGUCUCAUCCUUUGACCUGAGAAUUUGGCUUGGUAACCAUCAGGCUGGGGAGCCCCAAAAUGCGGCCACACAGAAAUGUGGGCUGCACCCCAUUUGUGGUUCUCAUCCCAUUGACUGACUGUGCCAGCUCCUGGGGGAAUUGUCUGAGUCUUUUUUUUUUUUUUUUCUUUUAGUUAUCUUUGGGAGUGGCCCUGGAUCCUUGUUCCCACAAACAGGAAUUACCAAGGGGCAUUCAUGAUUCAAAAUUAGUUUCCUUUGGCAGAUCACUACUGAAGAGGUUGUAGAACCUUCUUCUAAAUCAAUGACUGCCCAGCAAAAAUCCCUACAUCCUCU